rnacentral:lncRNA from 1 species
UAGUCUGUUAAUCUAAUUUCAAUUUAAAAAAAAAAAACUAAAAAUAAAAACUUAAAUAAAAUAAAAAAAGUAAAUAUAAAUCUCAAGUAUUAUUGAAUAUAUAUUUUAUCAAAUAAGAAAAUUGUCAAAUUGAACCGAUCAAUUUUAGUUAUGAGUUUGAUUCACGGUCUAAACUACCAUAGCUAUGUCUAGUCUAUUUUAUUCUAUAGACAAAUUGAGUUGAGCUGAAUGGUUUGAAUUGGGUUGAAUUAUGAGUUUUGGAUUGAUAAGUGAUUCACUUGAUUUAUUUAUUUUAGUUUGAGUUGUUUUUUUAGUUUUUUUGAAUGGUAGACUGAUCUUUAAUUUCCUAUGUGCUUUCGCCUUUUAUGGCAUUAAUAAAUGCAAUAUUAUCUUUGUCGACGGCCGAACUUGGGUUCUCCAGCAAGGCAGAACCCGAUUCUGCCCUAUGCAUAUGGCCACCCAACUCUCCAAUCCUCACACCCAACUCCUCAAAAAUAUACAUACUCACUCAUCAAGCAUAAGGGGCAUAAAAACUAGUCUAAACUCCAACAAACAACAAUAAAAACUCAUAAGAGCAAACAUUCAUUAAAAACCCAACUCAAACCUUAAAACUUUAGAUCUAACCAUUUCAUGCAUUUUUAACCCUUUACCCCUUCUUAAAACUUGAUUAAAACAUAACAAAAGCAAUGAUCUAGGCUUACCUCUUGGAGAUCUAAGGGUAGCAGCAACCCAAACUUGGAGAUGAGAAAAAAAACGUUCUCCGGAGGUCUCCAAGGUUUAAAAACUUAGAUUCAACUCAAAUCUUCAAAAGCAAACGGAAACUCGUGAAUUUUCUGAAAGAUUUGAAGGAAAAACAACACAAAUCACAAUGGGAGGGCAUGGACCUACCUCUGCCCGAAAAUGGAGAGAAAGCUCUCCCAUUUUCGGGCUGAAGCCUCUUAUAGGUGGCUGGAUAAACCACCUUCGGGGGCUGAAAGGGGAGGUCCUACGGCGGCACUACCUUUGGCGGUCGAACCUGGUUUUUCCNNNN